rnacentral:rRNA from 1 species
GAUGAACGCUGGCGGCGUGCCUAAUACAUGCAAGUAGAACGCUGAAGGAAGGAGCUUGCUCUUUCCGGAUGAGUUGCGAACGGGUGAGUAACGCGUAGGUAACCUGCCUGGUAGCGGGGGAUAACUAUUGGAAACGAUAGCUAAUACCGCAUAACAGUAGAUGUUGCAUGAUAUCUACUUAAAAGGUGCAAUUGCACCACUACCAGAUGGACCUGCGUUGUAUUAGCUAGUUGGUGAGGUAACGGCUCACCAAGGCGACGAUACAUAGCCGACCUGAGAGGCUGAUCGGCCAACCUGGGCCUGGGACACGGCCCAGACUCCUACGGGAGGCAGCAGUAGGGAAUCUUCGGCAAUGGACGGAAGUCUGACCGAGCAACGCCGCGUGAGUGAAGAAGGUUUUCGGAUCGUAAAGCUCUGUUGUAAGAGAAGAACGAGUGUGAGAGUGGAAAGUUCACACUGUGACGGUAUCUUACCAGAAAGGGACGGCUAACUACGUG